rnacentral:rRNA from 3 species
UUAAGCGACUAAGCGUACACGGUGGAUGCCCUGGCAGUCAGAGGCGAUGAAGGACGUGCUAAUCUGCGAUAAGCGUCGGUAAGGUGAUAUGAACCGUUAUAACCGGCGAUUUCCGAAUGGGGAAACCCAGUGUGAUUCGUCACACUAUCAUUAACUGAAUCCAUAGGUUAAUGAGGCGAACCGGGGGAACUGAAACAUCUAAGUACCCCGAGGAAAAGAAAUCAACCGAGAUUCCCCCAGUAGCGGCGAGCGAACGGGGAGGAGCCCAGAGCCUGAAUCAGUGUGUGUGUUAGUGGAAGCGUCUGGAAAGGCGCGCGAUACAGGGUGACAGCCCCGUACACAAAAAUGCACAUACUGUGAGCUCGAUGAGUAGGGCGGGACACGUGGUAUCCUGUCUGAAUAUGGGGGGACCAUCCUCCAAGGCUAAAUACUCCUGACUGACCGAUAGUGAACCAGUACCGUGAGGGAAAGGCGAAAAGAACCCCGGCGAGGGGAGUGAAAAAGAACCUGAAACCGUGUACGUACAAGCAGUGGGAGCCUCUUUUAUGGGGUGACUGCGUACCUUUUGUAUAAUGGGUCAGCGACUUAUAUUCUGUAGCAAGGUUAACCGAAUAGGGGAGCCGAAGGGAAACCGAGUCUUAACCGGGCGUUAAGUUGCAGGGUAUAGACCCGAAACCCGGUGAUCUAGCCAUGGGCAGGUUGAAGGUUGGGUAACACUAACUGGAGGACCGAACCGACUAAUGUUGAAAAAUUAGCGGAUGACUUGUGGCUGGGGGUGAAAGGCCAAUCAAACCGGGAGAUAGCUGGUUCUCCCCGAAAGCUAUUUAGGUAGCGCCUCGUGAAUUCAUCUCCGGGGGUAGAGCACUGUUUCGGCAAGGGGGUCAUCCCGACUUACCAACCCGAUGCAAACUGCGAAUACCGGAGAAUGUUAUCACGGGAGACACACGGCGGGUGCUAACGUCCGUCGUGAAGAGGGAAACAACCCAGACCGCCAGCUAAGGUCCCAAAGUCAUGGUUAAGUGGGAAACGAUGUGGGAAGGCCCAGACAGCCAGGAUGUUGGCUUAGAAGCAGCCAUCAUUUAAAGAAAGCGUAAUAGCUCACUGGUCGAGUCGGCCUGCGCGGAAGAUGUAACGGGGCUAAACCAUGCACCGAAGCUGCGGCAGCGACACUGUGUGUUGUUGGGUAGGGGAGCGUUCUGUAAGCCUGUGAAGGUGUACUGUGAGGUAUGCUGGAGGUAUCAGAAGUGCGAAUGCUGACAUAAGUAACGAUAAAGCGGGUGAAAAGCCCGCUCGCCGGAAGACCAAGGGUUCCUGUCCAACGUUAAUCGGGGCAGGGUGAGUCGACCCCUAAGGCGAGGCCGAAAGGCGUAGUCGAUGGGAAACAGGUUAAUAUUCCUGUACUUGGUGUUACUGCGAAGGGGGGACGGAGAAGGCUAUGUUGGCCGGGCGACGGUUGUCCCGGUUUAAGCGUGUAGGCUGGUUUUCCAGGCAAAUCCGGAAAAUCAAGGCUGAGGCGUGAUGACGAGGCACUACGGUGCUGAAGCAACAAAUGCCCUGCUUCCAGGAAAAGCCUCUAAGCAUCAGGUAACAUCAAAUCGUACCCCAAACCGACACAGGUGGUCAGGUAGAGAAUACCAAGGCGCUUGAGAGAACUCGGGUGAAGGAACUAGGCAAAAUGGUGCCGUAACUUCGGGAGAAGGCACGCUGAUAUGUAGGUGAAGUCCCUCGCGGAUGGAGCUGAAAUCAGUCGAAGAUACCAGCUGGCUGCAACUGUUUAUUAAAAACACAGCACUGUGCAAACACGAAAGUGGACGUAUACGGUGUGACGCCUGCCCGGUGCCGGAAGGUUAAUUGAUGGGGUCAGCGCAAGCGAAGCUCUUGAUCGAAGCCCCGGUAAACGGCGGCCGUAACUAUAACGGUCCUAAGGUAGCGAAAUUCCUUGUCGGGUAAGUUCCGACCUGCACGAAUGGCGUAAUGAUGGCCAGGCUGUCUCCACCCGAGACUCAGUGAAAUUGAACUCGCUGUGAAGAUGCAGUGUACCCGCGGCAAGACGGAAAGACCCCGUGAACCUUUACUAUAGCUUGACACUGAACAUUGAGCCUUGAUGUGUAGGAUAGGUGGGAGGCUUUGAAGUGUGGACGCCAGUCUGCAUGGAGCCGACCUUGAAAUACCACCCUUUAAUGUUUGAUGUUCUAACGUGGACCCGUGAUCCGGGUUGCGGACAGUGUCUGGUGGGUAGUUUGACUGGGGCGGUCUCCUCCUAAAGAGUAACGGAGGAGCACGAAGGUUGGCUAAUCCUGGUCGGACAUCAGGAGGUUAGUGCAAUGGCAUAAGCCAGCUUGACUGCGAGCGUGACGGCGCGAGCAGGUGCGAAAGCAGGUCAUAGUGAUCCGGUGGUUCUGAAUGGAAGGGCCAUCGCUCAACGGAUAAAAGGUACUCCGGGGAUAACAGGCUGAUACCGCCCAAGAGUUCAUAUCGACGGCGGUGUUUGGCACCUCGAUGUCGGCUCAUCACAUCCUGGGGCUGAAGUAGGUCCCAAGGGUAUGGCUGUUCGCCAUUUAAAGUGGUACGCGAGCUGGGUUUAGAACGUCGUGAGACAGUUCGGUCCCUAUCUGCCGUGGGCGCUGGAGAACUGAGGGGGGCUGCUCCUAGUACGAGAGGACCGGAGUGGACGCAUCACUGGUGUUCGGGUUGUCAUGCCAAUGGCACUGCCCGGUAGCUAAAUGCGGAAGAGAUAAGUGCUGAAAGCAUCUAAGCACGAAACUUGCCCCGAGAUGAGUUCUCCCUGACCCUUUAAGGGUCCUGAAGGAACGUUGAAGACGACGACGUUGAUAGGCCGGGUGUGUAAGCGCAGCGAUGCGUUGAGCUAACCGGUACUAAUGAACCGUGAGGCUUAACCUU